UGAGUAACCUGCCCUUAACUCUGGGAUAAGCCUGGGAGACUGGGUCUAAUACCGGAUAUGACUCCUCAUCGCAUGGUGGGGGGUGGAAAGCUUUUUGUGGUUUUGGAUGGACUCGCGGCCUAUCAGCUUGUUGGUGAGGUAAUGGCUCACCAAGGCGACGACGGGUAGCCGGCCUGAGAGGGUGACCGGCCACACUGGGACUGAGACACGGCCCAGACUCCUACGGGAGGCAG
rnacentral:rRNA from 1 species